rnacentral:rRNA from 1 species
UACGUAUGGGGCGAGCGUUGUCCGGAUUUACUGGGCGUAAAGGGAGCGUAGGCGGACUUUUAAGUGAGAUGUGAAAUACCCGGGCUCAACUUGGGUGCUGCAUUUAAAACUGGAAGUCUAGAGUGCAGGAGAGGAGAAUGGAAUUCCUAGUGUAGCGGUGAAAUGCGUAGAGAUUAGGAAGAACACCAGUGGCGAAGGCGAUUCUCUGGACUGUAACUGACGCUGAGGCUCGAAAGCGUGGGGAGCAGACAGGAUUAGAUACCCCCGUAGU